CAAGGAAUCUUCGGCACUGGGCGCAAGCCUGACCGAGCAACGCCGCGUGGAGGAUGACGGCCUUCGGGUUGUAAACUCCUUUGAGGUGGGACGAAACGGACGGUACCACCAGAACAAGCCCCGGCUAACUCUGUGCCAGCAGCCGCGGUAAGACAGAGGGGGCAAGCGUUGUCCGGAGUGACUGGGCGUACAGCGCGUGCAGGCGGAAUGGUACGUGCCCUGUGACACCUCGCCGCUCACCGGCGAGAGGCCAGAGUAGACGGCCAAUCUAGAGGGUCCAAGAGGGAUGUGGAACACCCGGUGGAGCGGUGAAAUGCGUAGAGAUCGGGUAGAACACCAGCGGCGAAGGCGGCAUCCUGGGGGACACCUGACGCUGAGGCGCGAAAGCGUGGGGAGCAAACGGGAUUAGAUACCCCGGUAGUCCACGCGGUAAACGAUGUGGAGCCGGUGUCUGCGGGUGAUUGUGCCCGUGGGGACCCAAGCUUACGCGAUGACUCCACCGCCUGGGGAGUACGGCCGC
rnacentral:rRNA from 1 species